AGCGAACGCUGGCGGCAGGCCUAACACAUGCCAGUCGAACGAACUCUUCGGAGUUAGUGGCGGACGGGUGAGUAACACGUGGGAACGUGCCUUUUGGUUCGGAAUAACUCAGGGAAACUUGUGCUAAUACCGAAUGUGCCCUUCGGGGGAAAGAUUUAUCGCCAUUAGAGCGGCCCGCGUCUGAUUAGCUAGUUGGUGAGGUAACGGCUCACCAAGGCGACGAUCAGUAGCUGGUCUGAGAGGAUGACCAGCCACACUGGGACUGAGACACGGCCCAGACUCCUACGGGAGGCAGCAGUGGGGAAUCUUGCGCAAUGGGCGAAAGCCUGACGCAGCCAUGCCGCGUGAGUGAUGAAGGUCUUAGGAUUGUAAAAUUCUUUCACCGGGGACGAUAAUGACGGUACCCGGAGAAGAAGCCCCGGCUAACUUCGUG
rnacentral:rRNA from 1 species